rnacentral:tRNA from 1 species
GAGUGUAUAGCUCAGCGGUAGAGCGCUACGUUGACAUCGUAGAGGUCGUAGGUUCAAACCCUAUUGCACUCA